GCCUGCAGGAGCUUCAUAUAUAUAUAUAUAUAUAUAUAUAUAUAUAUAUAUAUAUAGGAAUUUCUGAGGGCAA